AUUGAACGCUAGCGGGAUGCUUUACACAUGCCAGUCGAACGGCAGCGCGGACUUCGGUCUGGCGGCGAGUGGCGAACGGGUGAGUAAUGUAUCGGAACGUGCCCAGUAUCGGGGGAUAACUACGCGAAAGCGUAGCUAAUACCGCAUACGCCCUACGGGGGAAAGCAGGGGAUCGUAAGACCUUGCACUAUUGGAGCGGCCGAUAUCGGAUUAGCUAGUUGGUGAGGUAACGGCUCACCAAGGCGACGAUCCGUAGCUGGUUUGAGAGGACGACCAGCCACACUGGGACUGAGACACGGCCCAGACUCCUACGGGAGGCAGCAGUGGGGAAUUUUGGACAAUGGGGGCAACCCUGAUCCAGCCAUCCCGCGUGUGCGAUGAAGGCCUUCGGGUUGUAAAGCACUUUUGGCAGGAAAGAAACGUCGCGGGCUAAUACCCCGUGGAACUGACGGUACCUGCAGAAUAAGCACCGGCUAACUACGUG
rnacentral:rRNA from 1 species